UCUUCUCUCUCCCCCGUUCUGUCUUCCAAUGGCCAGGGUUUCAGUAUUUUGUCUUUUGUUUUCCUCUUCCUUUGUCCUCGAAUUUGGCUAGGGUUUCAUUCUUUUGACUGGGUAUUGAAGCCUUCGAUUAAGCAGAGAUCCAGAGUCAUCAUGGAGAAACUGUGCCUCAACAAGCUAUACAGUCAAUUUAAUUGGGGCUCGAAGGAUGCGUGCGGGAUCUAACCGAUCAAUAACCCAGGUUUCGGUUUAUUACAGACUACGCUUGGGGAAUCCUUGUUCUUCAUGUCCUCAUACAUGGUAAUGUUGUGUAGACUGUAGAGUGUUUUAGAAGGGCUUAAAAAAUUUAUUUUUUGUUAGAUAAAAAGCAGUUCGAAAAGUUAUUUGAAAAUCAGGUUUGGACCGUGAAAACAAACACUCAUCUCGAGAAAUUUUCAAGGACGCAAACAUUUCUGGAGGAUAUGGAAUUACCCAGGGAGCAGCUGGCUAUCGAUCUCUUUCCAUGUAACCAGCGACGGAAAAAACAAAGAGAAAAGAGCAAUGCAAGAAGCAAAAAUAUAAUAAAAGGUGACAAUUAAAUUUUUUUUUUUCCAUACAACGAGGAGCUGCAGAUGUAAUUCUAGAGCCUAGAAUGUUGAAGUCAUGGUUCAGGCUCAUCCUUGACCAUCCCCAAUUGCUGUCUCGUCGGUAUGGAAGACAUAUUGCUCACAUUAUCAUCAGCAAAGGAAACGCAACUGAUGUUAUUUUCACUUCACUUUUUUUUUGUGCUAGUUUCUCUCAAACACGUAAGCGAUAUGUCAUGUUGGGCAGUGCAGGUCUGUUUUUCUGCAAAACGGCAUGUCAAAAAUAAUUUCGGGGGCUGUUUUUUAUGCAGAAGACAUCCUUUUGAUGGGAACGCUCUCUCUCCAUCUGGGGUGACAAAACCCCUCGGCUGCCUAACAAAUCCAAACCACAUGACUGCGGUGGACAUGCAUCAAAAUUCAGAAGGCAAAAACUGAUUCUCUAUUAUAGCCUCCAAAACAAUUCGCAGGAGCAGGUGUGCUGCCCUCAAACAAGUUCCCUGUGGUUACUGCAAACCACCAUCCCAGAUCGUCAAGCUAAGCUAUAUAGUAUCAAAGUGGUUCAUAUUACUAGUUCCUACAGAAAAGAGGUCAUUGGACCAUUAGCCAAUGACAUAUCCAACUUUUUAAAGUAUACAUGGUUCUGGAAACACCAAAAAUUCAUAAUUCUAAGCCUACCAAGAGCAUCUAUUGCGGAGCUGCUUCAAGACAAAGAGUUACCGUUCUCAUAUUAUGGCACCACGGAUGUGUACCAUCUAAAAAGCCUCGCUCUUCAGUGUUCACGGCAGUAUCAAGCCUCAGUUGAUGGCCACGUUGUUAAAUUAAUUUGCUUUGAAUGUCAAUGAAGUAGUCGUCAAUUUCUGCAA